CGCUGGCUGUCUCUAUCUCUGUCUUAUAAAUAAAUAAAAAAUCUUUAAAAAAAAAAAAAAACUGCCAAAGAAAAUGAGCAUGGUAAUGAGGGAGAGGACAGAGCCAGAAACACAUAGGAAUGUGAGACAAAAAAAGAAAACCAAUGUUAGGAAUGAAAAGGACAGGAUUACAGAAUCUGCAAACAUUAAAAUUAAGUAAUAUGAGCAAUAAUUUUAGUCUAUUUGAAAAUUUAGAUGAAAUGGACAAAUUCCUUGAGAAACACAAUUUCAACAAACCUGACAAGUAAAAAACUAAUCCUAUGUCUAUAAAAUAAUUAAAUCUGUAAUUAAAAACCUUUGCACAAAGAAAAAUGUAGGCCCAAAUGUUUUACUAGCUGAAUGUUUUACUAGUAUUUCUAUCAAAUACUUUUAUUUCAAGCAUGCAAAUUUAGUUUAACACUAUAUUAACAGAAUAAAAAAGUCAGAAUCAUCUCAGUAAAUGAAGGGGAAAAAAGCCCAAGUUUUAAGAGUCAUUCAUGAUAAAAACUCAGUUUAUGGAAAAAUACCAAAAACUUCCCCUAUGAGGCACCAGGGUGGGUCAGUCAGUUAAGCGUCUGCCUUCAGCUCAGGUCAUGAUCCCAGGAUCCUGAGCCCUGCAUCAGGUUCCCUGUUCAGCGGGGAGCCUGCUGCUCCCUCCCCUCCCCACUCAUGCUCAUUCACGCUCUCUGUCGCUUUCUCUAAUAAAAUCUUUAAAAAAAUAAACAGAACUUCCAUAGGAAACGGGACAAAACACAAAUGUUACCUUUUGUAUGCAGUACUACACUAGAUGUUCUAUCACUACAGAGUUAAGAAAAAAAAAUGUAACCACUAGAAAGGGAGAGAGAAAACUGCCAUCAUUCCUCAAUUAUGAUGGCACAAUGUUUAUAAUAAUCUGAAUUGUUAGAACUUAACAGGUUGUGGAAUAUAAUCUCAACAUACGAAACCAAACUUCCUAUAUGCUAACAAUUGAAAAAUAAAAUUUUGUAAGACAACAUCAAAAAAUAACAUACAUUGUAAUAAAAUUUAUGAAAAUGUGCAAGGCCUAUUUAAAAACUGGAAAACAAAUUAAAGAUGACCAAGUCCUAAAGAACUUGAAGGAUAUCCCAUGUUCAUAGAAGACACAAUAUGUUAAAGGUGUUCAGAUUAUUCUACAGUUUUAAUUUCCAAUCAAAAGCCUGACAAGGCUUCUUUUUUUUUUGGUGUUCCUUAACAACGUGUUUCUGAAAUUUAUAUAAAAAAGCAAAGGGCCAUAAACAGCAACGGGAAGAUUAAAGAACAGGUUGGGAUGGGAGAGGUACUUGCUUUACUGUAUCUUAAUUAUCUUAAGACUACAGUAAGUCAAGACCCAAGUAAGUCAAGACCUUACUCUCUCUGUAAUGUAACAGACUCCAGAAAUAGACUCAUGGACACUUAAUUUAUACCACACAGGAGUACUGUAGAAGGGUAGGAAAAGGAUAUUUUUUCCAUGAAAUGAAACAAAAAGCAUCCAGAAACAGUUCACACUGUACUCAACAAAUGAAUUCCAGGCGGACUACAAAGCUAAAUACAAAAGAUAGAUAAACUUUCUGGAAAAGAAUACAAGAGACUACCUUCACAUCUCAGAAGGUUUAUACGGGGUCUAGAAAGCUAUAGGCACACAAAAGAUUGAAAAAUAAGGCUACAUUAAAAUAAUACAUUCUUAGGCAAUUUGCAACACUGAUGACGGGCCUAUAUACAAGACAUAUAAAGAACUAUGACAAAUAAUAAAAGAAAAACCAACAGAAAAAUGGGACUAGAAUCAAAACCUAUAUAAAAGGAUUUCCAAAUGGCCAUCCACACCAGUAACCUGGAAAAGGCAAAUUAAACAAAAUAAGAACUCAUUAUUCACCCACCAGAAAGGGAAAAUUAGAAAGAUUAAUAUGGGCUGAUUAGGAUGUGAGAAUUAAAAGAACCUUCAAUAUCCUACUUAGCAAUUCUACUUUAUUAGGUAAAUACCCACCAAAAAACGUAUGCAUAUACGCUCUGAGAUGUAAAAGGAUAUUCCUAUAGUAUUUGUAAUAUCCUCAAACUAGAAACAAAGCAAAUAUCCACCAACAAUAGAAUAUGUGUGAAGUAGGGUAAAGAGAAAGAAACGGACACACAAAAGGAAUACUAUUUAUCAGUGAAAACAAAGCAGUUGCAUGCAACAUUCUGGAUCAAUUUCAUAAAAACCAAGGAAAAGAAUACAAAAAAUACUUUGAUUCUAUUUACAUUGUUUAAAAUGUAGGUGUAAUUAAGUAAUUAUGUUUAGAGAGAAAUGCUUAAGUAUUAGAACCAGAAAUCGAUAAUUACUAUGAAAGCUAGGAGAGUAGUUACCUUUUGGAGGGGGGAACUGGGACAGGCCAGUGACUGGCUAAGGGCACGAGGAAACUUCUGGAGUACUGGCACAGUUCUGUUCUCUUGACCUGGGUUGUGGUUACAAAGUUGCUUAUUUUGUGGUAAUUCACUACAGUAUACAGUUUUGUGUUCUUCUGUGUUAUAUUUCAUGGUAACAGACGUUUACUUCAAAAGAAAAUUAAACAUCAUGACAUUUGUUUAGGGAUGGUCUGUUGUAAUUUCCUACCAUCUCAGUUGCAAUUGCUGUUGAGCUCGCCAUUUGUCCACAAUUCCACCUACCUUAACUGAGGAUUACGCAGCAAGGUAGAUGUCUGACAAAACCCACAUCAAGCAGCAGCAGUUCCAGCAAGAUGAAGAUAAUUCUGGAGAUUGGUUGCAUGACAAGUGUACUCAAAAGUACUGAACUGUACAUUUAAAAAUGUAUGGAUGUGAGAUGGUAAAUUCUGUUAUGUAUUUUUUGCCACAAAUAAAACUUAAAAAAAGGAAGAAGGUGCAGAAGCUCCAAAUCUCAUCUUAUGGCCCUUCAGCUAUGAAAACAGUAAUACUCUAGAAGAUGCUUUUAUACAUCUAGCCCUCUGGCCUCUUGGUCAUGGCCUAGGGACUCAAAAGAAGUAAAUCUCUACAAAUGCCAACUCAGGUAGGUAAUAAUGUAAGUUUGAAAACUGAAUUUUAUCUUUGGAUUUGCUGUCUCACUGCCUUAUACUCCAAAGCACUCAGCUUUUUUCAAUUCUAAAAUGUGGAACAAAAACAAAAGCUAUUUUAUAGCCUAAAACUUUAAUAGUUUGGUGUUAGUAUGGUGUAUGGUUAGUGAUCACACAUGAAUUUAGAGAUUUAAAGAAUAUUCUGAGCCAAUUAUUGUAUAUUCCAAUGUAUUUAAACUACCAUUUCACUUUUGUGCUAUAAUAAAACCACAAAUGGGGUUACAGUAUGGUGUUUUACUGAACCACUGAACCAAAGUGGUGUUCCCUAAAACUGAGAAAGGUGGAAGAUCAUUUCUACUUUUAAUGAGAAAAUUCUACAAUGAAGACUUGACUGGUUAUAUACUUCACGGAGCAGGACCUUUUGUCAGAGACCUAUCCUCAUUUAAAGGAGAUAAAUUCCUACUUGGCAAGGUAUCUUCUCCCCCUUCAUUCAUUCAUAAAAAGUCAAAAUGGGAUUUUAAUUCUCAAGUAGAAAGAAGGAAAAAUAAAAUAGUAGGUCGAUGUUGAAGUAAUCUAGCACUUCUUUUCUAUAACAGUCCUCCCCUUAUCUGUGAGGGACAUGUUUUAAGACCCCCAGUGGAUGCCUAAACAUGCAGACAGUAUCCAACCCUAUAUGUUCUGUAUUUUCCUACACAUAAUAUCUAUAAUAAAGUUCAAUUUAUAAAUUAGGCACAGUGAUUAACAAUAAAAUAUAAUACUGACAAAAAUCUACUGUAAUAAAAGUUAACGUGAACGUGGUCUCUCUCUCUCAAAAGAUCUGAUUGUAUUGUACUCACCCUGCUUCUCGUGAUGAUGUGAGAUAAUAAAAUACCUAUGUGAUGAGAUCAUGUGAGGUGAAUGACGGAGGCACUGUGACGUGUGCUAGGCUACUAAUGACAAUCUGAAGAUGCAUCAUAAGGAGGCUCAUUUGCUUCUGGAUCACGGUUGACUGCGGGAAACAAACCGAGGAAAGCCAAACCACAAACAAGUGCGGAGGACUACUGUACACAUAUUCUCUAAAAUCUUUGUAAACGUGAACAAGGAAGGAAUUACGUGUUCAGUACUCUGCUUUUCCCCACCAAACAGCAAAGUAGCCUACUUCAGAUCAUGUGGUUUCCUACCUAGAAGACCUCUCCUGUGCAGAAAAAUGUCUUCCAAAAGCAUGAGAUCAAAAGAACAUGAACAUUCGUUGUUUCUGUUCACUGAAGAAACCUUUUUGAUGAAGCUAAUGAUUACUGCUAAAUCAUAGAGAAAGCACAGUAUUUCCACACCAACACUGUGAAUUGUGCCUUCAUUUGGAACCCUAGAUUUUCACAACUCAGGGCAACAUACAGGACAGAUGAGAAGACAAAUGAAGAGGUUAAGUAACUUGCUCCAGGUCAUUCAACUAAAGAACAGCAAAGCCCAGAGUCUCUUUCACUUGAUUUGAUCUCCAGGCAAAGAUAAAUGAAUUGAUCUUCCUA